CAUAUCGACUGAUUUCAUCAGUAACGAAACGGGGAGUUUUCGGCUGUAAGUACGGUGCUAAUAGCCUAAUAUGGGCGUGGAAGAGACGCUACCAGCUACCAGAGUUUGAAGGUUGUGAAUUCUGGCCCCUGGGUGAGUUGCAGCAGCCCGCCUCUCCGACGAUCCAGUCGUCCCGUUGUCUUGUUCCUCGAUUACAAGCUGUCCGCAAAGCCCCACCUCUCCUCCGACUUUCAUUUUUUUCGUGAACCAUUUCCUUUAAAUCUGGAUUUGAGUUGGCUUUUGGAUCUUUAUUGGGGUAAAAGGUUUUAGUUUAGAACCGUGAAUAUAAUACCAACGCUGGAUUUAUUUCCAGAACCGAUCUAUGAUUUUUAUUGUUGGAUGUUGAUAUGUUGUCUGGCAAGAAUAGAAAAUGUCUUAUCGGAAUUUCAAUUUUUUCCGUGAACCCUUUCCUGUGAUUGGGUUUAAAUCUGGAUUUGAGUUGGCUUUUGAAUCGUUAUUGGGGUAAAAGGUUUCAGUUUAGACCCGAGAAUAUAAUACCAACGCUGGAUUCAUUUUCGUAAUCGAUCUUUUUUAUUGUUGGAUGUUGUCUGGCAAAAUAGAAAAAUGUCUCUUAUAAGGAUUUUUUUCCUCUCUGGAUAAAAAUUAUUAAUUUAGGCUCCCUAUGUCGAGAAACGAAUGAAUUUGGGAUGCAUUCCCUAAGGGCACAAGAAAAUCAGACAGGGUUAAAAAGAGGAUAUGCGAGUCUAAAUUAAUUUUGCCGGAUGGUUCUAUAAUUAUCAUUGUUUUAAAUUAUUUUAAACAAUUUAAUGGGAUGCUAAAGUCUUGAAUAAUAUUGAUAUCUUGCUCGUCAAAGAGUGCAUCAAGAAUCCUAUAUACUUAGUUUUCGGAGUAUCAAUCUAGUGAUGUUUCAAUCCUCUAUAAAAUUUUCUUUGCUUGUUUGCACUGUGGAUCGAAGCAUUUGAUUAUUGUUUUUCAAUCACGAACUCUGUUUGGUUUGACUGGAAAACUCAAUUUUAAAUUCGUCAACAAUCGGAUCGAGUAUCUGUUUGUCUCACUCUUAUCACCCCCCGUGGCCAUAAUUUCAUCGUUUACUCUGUCCAAACUUAUAUGAUAUAAAAGUAAUAUCCGUUAGUAAGUGUAACAUUUUAGCCUCAUGAAGACCCCAUUGCUAACAAGUGUGGAAGUGAAAUUAUUUCUGGCCCUGAUGGAGAAGGUUCGUUUCUAUCCUUGUUAACUUUUGAUCUACUUCUUAAGUUUUCAUUUCAAACUUUUGUAAUAAUAUAGGAGAUCGUGUUAAAGUUCAGUUUGCACUUCUCUACUUUUUUUAACUUUGUUGAAGUAUUGUUCCAUUUGCUGAUACUGCUACUUGUUCUGUUCUAAAGCAUACGAAUAGAAAAAGUUUUUACAAAAAACUCAGAUACUAUACAUUUGAAUCCAUACAUUUGAAAAGUGGAUAGAAUUGUUGAAAUAUGAUUGCAGAAGGGAUUAUCUGUCUUUCAGAGUUUGAAACAUAUAUUCUAUUGUAAAUUUUAAAAACUGGGUUAAGCUAUUUAUUUUGUCCAAGAGAUGACUUGUCUCAUCCUUUCCCUAUCUUCGUUAUUUCAUCUUUAUCUCUGUUUACACUGUUUUAGGCAAUUUAUUUUGAAGGGUUGAUUAAAAAAAUCUCACAACAGUACACCGCCUUGAUUUCAUUGAUGCUAGCCAGUGCACUUGUAGAAGAAACUAAAAUGUGAAUAUUAUUGUAAAUGUAUUAGUGAAAACAUGAUCUCUUUUUGGCACUGCAAGAUCCCCAUGAGGGGUUUUUUUGUCACUUCUAUGUUGCUAUAAUCUCUUUUCAAGUUUCGUACUAGAAGUUUAGAAUCUGUACUUUGUGUAUUUGCUGCCAAACAAAAUAAGCCCUUGCACCUUGUGGGUUGCUGCAAUCAGGCAGCUCAUGAAUUGCUUGCUUUUGGGUUGGGAUCAAGUAGAUUUGAAUAACCAGUGAUCCACCAAACUAGACUUUGAUUUAUUAUUUUGGGAUCUUUUCUUGGGUCUAGCCUGUGCCUUUUGAGAUCUUCCCGAUUUAUACUUACUGUUUACUCAGAUUGCAUCCGAUUGCCUGCUUCUUUUAGUGUAACUAAUACUUAUCAUGGAGGGUAAAACGUGAAAACUUUGAUAGUCUUUUGUAAUUUUGGUUGCUGGCCCCAAUUGAUGCAUCAAUGAAGUGUGGGUUAAGUUCAAAUGGUAGAAAAAUUGUCGUCAAUGCAGGUUAAAUAUGAGUACAGAUCUCGAUGGAAUUUAUUUUUUUGAAUUUGUGAUUAUCUAAAUACAUAUUUAAACUUAUUUUUGUACUGAAAUACUUUUAAGUUAAAGAUCUCCUACUCAAAGUUAUAGAGUAAUUUUACUUCAAAAAAAGAAGAAUAAGUCAAGAGUAAUUUAAUUUUUUGCUACUUUUUAUUAGUCAUUUUCUUUUAAUUACAUUUAUUCAUUGAAGAGUGUUGAUUGUAAAAUGCUGUAUCCAUAUCUCUUAAGUGAUUUUAUAAUCUUUUAUAAUCUUUUAAUUGUUUAAGAAUGCAUGUUAUGGUUUUUACAUUGUCCUAGGGUAGUUUUAAAUUCUUGUCUCUGGUGCAAAGAAUUUUUAGGGGUUGUGUCCCAUCGGUGUUGAGGCGCAUUGCAUAGGUUGCGGUAUAACCUGGUAAACUACAUGUUGAUUUUGCUCAAUCUCUAGAGUUCCUCGUUAUCAAAAAGUUAUCUGUUACCAAAGUUUCCUUAUUAAAAGUUACGUAUAUAAAAAAAAGUGUUAAUAAGGUUAUGUUACAUAACCCAAGAUGGCUGCCUUCAGUAUUUGAUCUGGGCAUCCCGCCAUUCCAAAUUCUGGUCUUUGACUCAUUACCCAUCACAAUUCUAGUAGAACAAGCUUUGGUUUUUUCUGAAGGCCUAUUCCUUGCAAUCCAUUAACUUCAUUCGAACUCCAUGCACCUUGAGAGCGACCAUUUUUCCCAUUGUCCACCAUCCUCUGAAACCACUUUCUCAGCUGCAUAACAUCAAAACCGUUUGCCAAAGAGAUAUGCUAGACUGCAUUAAGCUGUGGACCCCAAGCCCUUCCAUGUAGACUUGACGAACUCCUUAUACCACCUUGCUAAAUGAAAUUGAACUCCUCCCCCAUGCCACUAUAUAGGAAAUUUGGUUGCAACUUAUCUAGUAAAUUAUCUAUACCAACAGGAAGCGGGACAAGGGCAGAUCAGUAGGCAGUUUUGACAAAAUGCUCUUAAAUUAAGAAAGAGACCGGAGUGGGUAAUUGGCAACGAAAUCACCAUACAUCCAGAAAUGGUCAGUGUCAAUAUUCUCCACUUUACCUUCAGAGCAGUUCAGAUUUAGCCAAGGUGAACUUUAAACUGAAAAUUGCUUUAUAGCAUAAGGUAGGCAUUGCAAAUCUUGGGUGUGGUCGGGGAUUUUCUCGCAGAAAACCAGUGUCACAUGUAUCAACAAUUGAGAGAUCGAAACCCCAACUGUAUUUCAUGAGCCCACAAAUGAGAAGAAUGGAUCACCAUCACGAAAACUCAAGACUGUUAUAAAAUUGUUUAGAAGUGUCAUUCGUAAGAUAGAAAAAAACAUUUUCGAUAUUCAGUGGACUACUUGAUUACACCAAUUUUCCCUAAAACCACAUUGCUUCAGCAUAUUCAACAAAAAAUACCAUUUCACAUGAUCACAUGCGUUUUUGAUAUCCUACUUACAAAGCACUUUGGUUUCUCUUGACCGAAUUCAAUAGUGAUGAGAACAUAAUCAGAGACUUGUCUUCUCACGAUAAAAGCAUUUUGUGAAUUCGAUAUGAUGUCUACAUCUCAUAAUGCCUUGUUUGAGUUUGACAUAUCUUUGACUAUGUACUGAUUACUAAUGAAUGUCCCAAAAGCAGACAAAGUUCAGUAGAACCAGGGAUACUUUGUGAGCCAGAUUUAAAGAAGGCAUAUGAUCACACUAGUUGGGAUUUUUGCUACUUGCUGAGGAGAUGCAAAUUUGGGGCAAAAUGGUGGAAUUGAAUAGCACCAUUGUAUUUCAGUAGUGCGCUUUUCUAUUUUGCUGAAUGGUUCUUCUUUGAGAUUUUCUAAUAGUUUUUGUGGCUUGAGAUAAUGGGAUUCAUUGCCUCCUUUGCUCCAUGGGAUUCUUGACCAACUCCUUCCCUUAUGGUGUCUGUCUUAUCCUUUGAAGUGGUGUUAGGUCGGAAAGUGAAUUUGGCUAAAUAAAAAAUGUUCUCAGCUGGGGUUUUUGGCAUUGUUGACGAUUUUGGCUAGUAUUUUUGGAUACAGGGUCGCCUUUGUUGUCAAAAUUUCUUUCUGUUCUGUUGCGAUCUCCUUUCAAGGUCAAACUUUUUUUAAUGGCAUUAAGAAACAAUGGAGUGUCGGUCUGUGGCUGGAAGCUGAUUUAGUUGUCCAAUUUUUGCUGGACUCAUGUUGAUUAGAAGUACAUUGUCCAAUAUACCAACAUUUUUUAUGUAUCUUUCUUCACUUCCUGUGGCGUUGCCAAUCAUACAGAUAAUCUACAAAGAGAUUUCUUGUACAGUAGUGCGAGGGACGAACUUUAGUCUCUCUGGGUAUGUUGGUCAAAGUUUUGUUUGGUGUAUGUCGAAGGUUUGGGGGUUCUGAAGCCUGAAACUGGUGUUGCUUAAUUGAGCCUUGUUGGAAAAGUUGUUGUGGCGUUGUGCAAGUGAACCUUUGUUUAGGAAGGGUGGCUGUGGAUGCUAAAUAUGUUGAUAGGGUGGACAGAUUUCUAAUUAGGUGACUGGUUUGUCUCUAGUUGGUCUUUGGAAGAAUACAAGGACAAUGUUGGUGGAAUUUCGUAGCUCAUGUUCUUUUAAAAGGAAGCUGUCUGUAAUUGUAUUUGCAAAGAUGUGCAACUUGGAGACCUUUUUUUUCCACCUUUCUAAGACUUUUUAUACUCUUAAACUUGAGUUUACGUUUUUUUACACACUGGUUUAUAGAAUUCACCAUAUUUGAUUGCUGUAACAUAUCUCAUUGGAAAGUAGAAGACAAUUCCCCCCCCCCCCCCCCC